rnacentral:lncRNA from 1 species
CAGCAGAUUGGACAUAAAAGAUCAGUAGUUUAUAUUGAGAAUUUUUUGACGAAACCAAAGGAAAAUCCACUGUUAAGAAGUGUCAAAGAUGUCAUAAAAAUUUCGUAGAAAUUUGGAUAGAAAAAGCACAGUAGCAAGAUCAAACAGAUGGUGCUAUGCGGCUGGAAUUCUGCAAUGUAUCUUUCGUCGUAGAGAUGAAAAUUUUGUGACGAAAAGUUUAUGCAGCAAUAUAGGAACGAUUUUUUUUUUUUUUGGAUUUUCAAAUAAGGAUAACUAAAUUGCAGCAGCAGUAAGGUAGGAAACCAGAACCUGUUGCAAUUCACGGGGAGAUCAACGGAUGAUCCGUGGUGGUGGAGAUGAUGACAGAAUUCGGUGAUGAUCUUUUAAGCAAUUGUGGGAAUUGCUUUGGAUGGUUGUAGAGGGUUGAUGGAUGGCUGUGGAAGGGCAGCGAGACGCCAAGAACGCUGCUCUGAUACCAGGUGGUAGAACCCUUGCAGAUUCUAAACUUGGGGUUGAUCUCUUUAGGGGAUCGGCCUCCUUCGAACUCUAUAGGGGUUCCUCCCUCCAAGUGCUGCUCAAAGGCUG